AGUGAACGCUGGCGAUAGGCCUAACACAUGCAAGUCGAACGGCAGCACAGUAAGAGCUUGCUCUUACGGGUGGCGAGUGGCGGACGGGUGAGGAAUACAUCGGAAUCUACUUUUUCGUGGGGGAUAACGUAGGGAAACUUACGCUAAUACCGCAUACGACCUACGGGUGAAAGCAGGGGAUCUUCGGACCUUUCGCGAUUGAAUGAGCCGAAGUCGGAUUAGCUAGUUGGCGGGGUAAAGGCCCACCAAGGCAACGAUCCGUAGCUGGUCUGAGAGGAUGAUCAGCCACACUGGAACUGAGACACGGUCCAGACUCCUACGGGAGGCAGCAGUGGGGAAUAUUGGACAAUGGGCGCAAGCCUGAUCCAGCCAUACCGCGUGGGUGAAGAAGGCCUUCGGGUUGUAAAGCCCUUUUGUUGGGAAAGAAAAGCAGCAGGUUAAUCCCCCGCUGUUCUGACGGUACCCAAAGAAUAAGCACCGGCUAACUUCGUG
rnacentral:rRNA from 1 species